AGUGAACGCUGGCGGUAGGCCUAACACAUGCAAGUCGAACGGCAGCACAGUAAGAGCUUGCUCUUACGGGUGGCGCGUGGCGGACGGGUGAGGAAUACAUCGGAAUCUACUUUUUCGGGGGGGAUAACGUAGGGAAACUUACGCUAAUACCGCAUACGACCUACGGGUGAAAGCAGGGGAUCUUCGGACCUUGCGCGAUUGAAUGAGCCGAUGUCGGAUUAGCUAGUUGGCGGGGUAAAGGCCCACCAAGGCGACGAUCCGUAGCUGGUCUGAGAGGAUGAUCAGCCAGAUUGGAACUGAGACACGUUCCAGACUCCUAGGGGAGGCAGCAGUGGGGAAUAUUGGACGAUGGGGGCAAGCCUGAUCCAGCCAUACCGCGUGAGUGAUGAAGGCGUACGGGUGGUAAAGCCAUUAUGUUGGGAAAGAAGAGCAGCAGGUUAAUACCGCGCGGUUCUGACGGUACCCAAAGAAUAAGCACCGGCUAACUUCGUG
rnacentral:rRNA from 1 species